rnacentral:tRNA from 10 species
AGUCCCGUGGGGUAAUGGCAAUCCUGAUGGACUCUGGAUCCAUCGAUAGCGGUUCGACUCCGCUCGGGACUA